CAACUUUCAUAACUCUAAAACCAUACAUCACAUUCACAUAAAAUUACACAUUCACAAUCAAUCCAUUCAGGGGAACAACAUAUUAAAAAAUGGCAUGAAUCAGACCAGGGGUUCAAAAGUUAGUAAAAGUAUCUUUUGAGCCCUGGCUGGCACAUGGCUAUCUGGCUCAAACAGGUUUUACAGAGCCCUCUAUCCUGGAGACAAUGGGGAAAAGUAAUCCAAUUAUCCAGGGAUAGAGGCAGACUCCAUUGAGCACAUGGUUGCAAAAAGACAUAAAACACUUUAUGUAUUCUAAAGUCACCUUUUACACAUAACACACAGACAUUUCACAUAUCCCCAGAUAGCUGGGAUCUGAGCGCACAAAACUACCGAAUAGCGCUCAGAUCCUAUUCACACAGUUCAAUUGCAAUGGAGCCGAAGUCUUUAACUACACGAAUGGGCUUCAUGGCAUAGCUAUCUGGGUUAACACAUUUACAUAAAGUCUGGUCCAUAGUCCAAAGGCAGCAGGCGGGCAGCCAGGCUUCUCCAAUGCAAUGUGGCGAGAUUGCUCUCAUCACAUGUAGAAUAUCCCACUAGCUAUAGUAAAGCUAGGAUUCCCGGUUCCCUACAACACGAGUCGAGGCUGCGAGUUGAGGGUAAAACGAACUGGCUUUAAUGGCACACAAGCAUGGCAAUUUAUGCAAGUCCCCAGGUCCAGGGACAGCCCCCUCUGGACCUGAUGGAACACAGGUACAACACAAGGAUUCGACCAAUCACAUUACACUGUAUCAUUCAAAAUAAUAACCGCCCAGCUUGGAGAUAAUGAGUCCAACAGUUAUACAAUCUAGUUAUCUCCAAUCCCAUCCUUUAUUUUGUCCCAGAAAACAGCAUAAAAAUAUAUAACUUCAACAUUUUGAUGAGAAUACAGCUCGUUCGACUAUUCAUUCGGUAGCUCAGAUCUGAGCGCAUCAGCUAUACGAAUUGCGCUCUGAUCCCAUGAACAGAACAGAUGGUUUCUGUCAUACAAAGUCUCAUUCGUUGCUUUUAUCCCGGGAUGGCGGCCAUGUUUUAAGGUCGUCAAUGGACAGCGGGACCUUGACCUAAAACUCAUGGAGCGAGCGUCGGCUACAUAUUUGCAAGAACUCCCGCUCUCAGUAUGGUUGACCCAGCCGUUCGGGAAACGAAUGGAGACUGUCUGGAAGGGGGUACUUAACCUGUGGUUAACCGCAAAAUCAACAUUCUAAUUGAGGCCACACGCCAGGAUAGAAACAUAGAAACAUAGAAUGUGACGGCAGAUAAGAACCAUUCGGCCCAUCUAGUCUGCCCAAUUUUCUAAAUACUUUCAUUAGUCCCUAGCCUUAUCUUAUAGUUAGGAUAGCCUUAUGCCUAUCCCACGCAUGCUUAAACUCCUUUACUGUGUUAACCUCUACCACUUCAGCUGGAAGGCUAUUCCAUGCAUCCACUACCCUCUCAGUAAAGUAAUACUUCCUGAUAUUAUUUUUAAACCUUUGUCCCUCUAAUUUAAGACUAUGUCUAUGUAAGUGGUCCUGGUUCGUGAGUCUUUCGGUAGAUUUUAGUUCGGGGAAAUGUACACGAACGUGGAUGCCCUUUAGACCGUCAAUUAGGUUGUGGUUAACAGCAGACCGCAGCUCCUUUGGUGGUUAAUUAGAGGCAUGCUCCGCUCGUAAGGUGGACGGUUGUAUGGUACUUUCAAAGGUGAUCGGGGUUAAGUGGCGGCACACGCCAAGGACAGGGUGGUCCGUCGUUCAUAUACAUGAAUGUGUAGCUAUAACUGUUCGUAUAAUGUGUUCGUACUGUCUGGAUACCGAACAGAGUAUUAGAUGAACAAAAGGGGGUUACUUCUAUAACAGUUUGGAGGGUUCUUGUAACAAUGCUCCCUCCUUGUGGAACACUCUGGCAGACACUGUCUGACCCCUUUUCGGGGCAGACUAAGGCUGUCCAGACUGAGGCGUUAUGCUGGACUGAGCUCGUUUUGUCGAGAUAACCCGUCGGCAUUGCCAUUCUGUUUCCUGGGUCGGUAGGUGAAAUUAAACGGCUGUAAGGAUAAGCUCCAACGUAAAGGUCUGCCAUUGUCCCCAGCAACCCGAUUGAGCCAUACCAACGGGUUAUGGUCUGUAACCAGAGUGAACUCUUGUCCAUACAAGUAGGGAGUCAAUUUCUUUAGUUCCCACACCAGGGCCAAGCACUCCUUUUCCACGGCGGCAUAGCUGACCUCGCGUGGCAGGAGUUUUCGGCUGAUGUAGGCAAUCGGGUAUUCCUUUCCAUCGUCUCCUACUUGGCUGAGGACGGCCCCCAGCCCGAACAUGGAAGCGUCUGUAUGGACGAUAAAACGUUUAUUAGGGGCUGGGGCAGCCAAGACAGGAGCAUUAAUUAGGGCACUUUUGAGGGUGUGGAAGGCUGUUUCACAGUGGGGAGACCACAGGACCUGUCGGGGUAGAUUUUUCUUCGUCAAUUCGGUCAGGGGUUUAGCAAUAGAACUAUAGUCCAGUACGAAUCGUCUGUAGUACCUGACAGUGCCCAAGAAAGCUAGUACCUGGGUCUUAGUGUGAGGUGUGGGCCAAUUUGCGACCGCCUCUAUCUUAGCUGGCUCCGGUCGCUGCUUCCCGCAUCCCACUCGGUGACCCAAGUACCGUACCUCAGCCAUCCCAAAAUUGCAUUUUUCUGGUUUCAGUGUCAGGCCCGCGGCCCGAAUCUGAUCCAGAACCAUUCCUACAUGAGCUAGGUGUUCCUCCCAGGACUCAUUGUGGAUUGCUAUGUCAUCCAGGUAGGCACAGGCAAAAUCCUGGAAGCCAUCAAGGAGUCUAUCCACCAAGCGCUGGAAUGUGGCUGGGGCAUUCUUCAUCCUGAAUGGCAUGACCUUAAAGUGGUACAAGCCGAACGGGGUGACGAAUGCCGACUUGGGGAUAGCUUCCCUGGCCAGGGGGAUUUGUCAGUAACCUCUACAGAGGUCAAUGUUCGUUACGUAGUUUCCCCUGGCUAUGCGGUCCAGUAGCUCAUCUCCCCUGGCUAUGCGGUCCAGUAGCUCAUCUACGGUUUUAUCAUUGAGUUUCCAAUAGUUCACACAGAAUCUGAUAGUGCCAUCCAUUUUGGGUACUAGCACCACUGGAGAUGCCCAGGGACUAUCGGAGGAUUCAAUGACCCCUAGCAACUCGUUUAUCUAUUUUUUCAUCCUUGCCCUGACCGCUUCUGGGAUACGGUAGGGGGCCUGUCUUAAGGAUUGCUGUCCUGAGGUGUCUACUUGGUGGGUGGCAACUCCGUGUACCCGGGUUCCUUAGUGAAUAUCGAGUGUUUCUCUUGGCGCAGUUUGUGUAGCUGCUCCCUCUCUACUGGGUUAAGUCUGUCCCCUAUCUGCAGUUGGUUCACUAACUCCGGGAGGUCCUGGUCUAACAAGUCGGGUAUGAGCAGGCUAUCGGGGUCUUCGUAAGCGGGGCUGCAUAUGGCUGCCACAUCCUCCUGUCUCUCUAGAUAUUCUUUAAUCCCUUAAGGACCAAACUUCUGGAAUAAAAGGGAAUCAUGACAUGUCACACGUCAUGUGUCCUUAAGGGGUUAAGCAUAUUUACGUGGAAUAUCUUCUGCAGACUUUCAUCGUGGCAGCUAGCAAUCACGUAUGUAGUGUCCCCGCGUUUCUCUACUACUUGGUAAGGUCCCUGCCAAGAUGCUUGCAGCUUGUCUGCUUUAACGGGUUUGAGAACCAUAACCUUUUGUUCUAUACAAAAGCUCCUCCUCCGUGCCCCCCUGUCAUACCAGACUUUCUGUCGCCUCUGGGCCGCCUGGAGGUUCACCUGGAUAGACCUGGUUAAUUGCUCCAUACGGUACGAUGGGGACCCCGGCAUUCUCGGUCUCUCCCUCCCAGUGCUCACAGAUAAGGUUCAGGGGUCCCCGUACCUUGCGUCCGUAUAGCAGCUCAAAGGGAGAGAAUCCGGUCGUUUCCUGGGGCACCUCCCGGUAAGCGAAUAGGAGAUGUGGCAGGAAGCGUUCCCAGUCUCUAUAUUCCUGGGUGAAAGUUUUCAGCAUUUGUUUGAGGGUUCCAUUGAACCUCUCACAUAACCCAUUAGUCUGCGGAUGAUACGGAGAGCUGACUAGGGAUUUUAUUUUGCAGACAUGCCAUAGCUGUUGCGUUAGUUCAGCAGUGAACUGGGUGCCUCUGUCGGACAGGAUUUCCCUGGGGAAUCCCACCCAGAGAACACCUGGACUAAUGCAUUAACUACGGUGUCUGCUUGGAUGUUGGAUAGGGCUACUGCCUCUGGGUAGCGAGUAGCAUAGUCCACCACUGUAAGAAUAUUUCUCUUUCCGGAUGGACUGGGGGUGGCGAGUGGUUCCACUAGGUCGAUGGCUACCCGGCUAAAGGGUUCUUAUAUAAUGGGCAUGUUGACGAGGUGUGCCUUGGGGUGGUCUCCUCUCUUUCCCACUCUCUGGCAGACCUCGCAAGUAUUACAGUAAGUCCUCACAUCUGCAUGUACCCCUGGCCAGAAAAAGGCGUCGGUAAUAGUGUGGAGGGGUACGGGUGCCCGGCUAAGGGAAUGUCGUGACCCACCUGGAGAAUGUCUCGCCUAUACUUGUGGGGAAUGACCAACUGUCUCCUACGGUGCCCUUUUUUCUUGGUAUGAAAUUAUACAACCUGCUCUGCUCCCAUGCAAAUGUCUCGUGGUCUGACCACCCAGUCCCUGUGUCUGCUCUUUCCCUACUUCUGGAGGGUCGGGUCAGUUUUAGUCUCAGCCUCAAAGGCUGCAGGCGUAUCCCAGGGUAAUGGUGAAGGGCAAUUAGUCAGUCGGGGUUAGUCUUACCUGAGUCUCCCGCACUGGCGAAGGGUCUUGGGUCCUUCCUGCUUGUGACCAGGAUGUGCCUCCCGGUGGUAGGAAGGGGCAUAUGCUGAAGUCAUGGGGCCCAGGUCGUUGCCCAGUAAAACCUCAGCUGGCAAGUUAUCCACGAUUCCCACCCUCACAAGUCCUUUACCCGCACCCCAGUCCAAAUGUACUUUGGCCAUUGGUAGCUUGUAUAUAUCCCCUCCAGCCACGGUGCUUUUGGAGCGCUUAUGUUCUGGAACCAGGCAGCCUUGCACCAGGGUGAUAGUAUCCCCGGUGUCUCUUAACCCCUGAGUAGGGCGGCCGUCCAGCAAUACCUCUUGUCUGUGGUGUUGUCGGUUGCUGCAUACACGGGGUCGGCUUCGUGGAGAGGUCCCAGAUACUCUUUAUCAACACAAAAAGCAUGGUCUGGCCGGGUAUUUCCCGAAGAGGAUGAAUUAUAGUUCCGGAAGGGAUAAUUGUUAUUCAGGGGGCAAUUGGCUAUGAGAUGCCCCGGCUGUUUGCAUUUGAAGCAUGUGGGACGUGAGUGGUUGGGUGGUCCGGUGUAUCGGGUAGGUCCUGCUGGCACCGGCGUACGAAACUCCGUUUGUGGGCUAGUUCGGUGAUUGUCUCUAUGUUCGGUAUGUAUCACCAUUCGGGAGUUAUUGAAUUUCCUGUACCUAAGAGUCUCGGUGUUUGUUGGCCAAUCUCGCGGCUUCGUUGAGGUCAUUGGGACGUUGGUCUUUUAACCAUUCUCUGUCUUUCUGCUCUAGUCCAUCAUAGAAAUGUUCUAACAAAAAUAGUUACAAAAUCUCGACUGCAACAUCCGUUAAUCCAAUGAGUAGCAGCCCACCGCAUUCGGUGCGCCCAUUCGGCAAGUGUGUAAUUCGGCUUCUUUUUCGUGUUGCGGAACUGCCUGCGAUAGGUGUCGGGGGGUCACCGCGUACUGCCUCAGCAGAGUGUCUUUUACUAGCGAGUAUUGGGCCACCUCUUCAGUGCUGAGAGUCCUAAAGGCUUCCAUCGCUUUCCCUGCUAGCUUCCCCACAAAAAUAUGAGGCCAUUUGUGGCAAACCUAGCCACUUUAGAUUGUGCAGUUAUAUGUCUAAAGGUUGUCCUAGAAAGCUGGUCCAAUUCUGUUCGUUUCAGUAUUUACUUAACCUUGUAAUAGAAAGCAUUCGUAUUCUAGCGGCCGAAAGCUGCUAGCAUUCAUAUGAUAGUUUCGCGAACAGUGACUUUCCACACUGUCAUGUGGCUCCCAUUAACCGAUUGCAACAUUGGAGCAAUCAGCUGCUAAUGGAUUUCCCGGGUGGCCGUCGUUUGGCUACCGACCACGAGGCAGCGGCCAUCUUGGAUUUCCCUUUUGCCCAGCAGUGUUUAGUCGUCGAGUGCCUGGAACUAAAAUCGGCCACUUGACGGCACGAACACCGCUGGACUUCCAAACCUUUCGGGAGCGCCGGUCUUUCGGUACUUUUCCCCAAUUGUAUAUUCGUGACUUUUAUGAUGAAUGUAUAUUAAAGUGUGUUUCGUGCGGCGUUCGGUUAUUUAUGCUGGGAUCUGAGUGGUACUUUCACAAAGUGUGCGCUCAGACCCCAGCUAUCUGCCGAACGAUCAUUUGGUACAAUAGCACAAAUAAAAUUUAAGUUACUGAUUUUUAUGUGAAAAGACGGUUCUGCUGUACGGAGGGAUAAUCCACUUAACAGGAGGGUUUUGGAUAUUGCCUUCAUUUUCAGCGCUUUACUUGAAUUAACACAAAAAUAUAUAACUUUAACAUUAUUUGUGUGAUUCUACUAAAUGACCGUUCGGUAGAUAGCUGGGGUCUGAGCGCACACUUCGUGAAAGUACCGCUCAGAUCCCAGCACAAAUAACCAAACGCUGCACGAAACACACUUUAUUAUACAUUCUCAUUAAAAAAUACUGAGGGAAUAAAGGGAAUAAGGCCGAUUUUAGUUCCAGGUGCUCGACGAC
rnacentral:lncRNA from 1 species